AUGCCUCUGCUCAUGGCUCUCUACUGCAUUCUCAGCAUGUAUUUGAAAUAUUCCUGAGUCCCCCUGCAGCACCUCCACAGAGCCCUCCCAGCUUUGCUACUACACCGCUACUCUGCGCCUCUCUCUGUAGCACUUCUCCUCUAGCUAAACAGCCCAAAGGGCUAAAAACCCUCUCCAUAGAAGUCCUAAAUGUCCAUAGUCCGUCCGAUCAUUGUCGCUUCUCUCCUUGCUAUUGGAUUGUACUCAUCAAGUCUCAGAUCACCUAGGUCUUCUUUCCAACCGUCAGAUCACAGCAC
rnacentral:lncRNA from 1 species